rnacentral:rRNA from 1 species
AUUGAACGCUGGCGGCAGGCCUAACACAUGCAAGUCGAACGGUAACAGGAAGAAGCUUGCUUCUUUGCUGACGAGUGGCGGACGGGUGAGUAAUGUCUGGGAAACUGCCUGAUGGAGGGGGAUAACUACUGGAAACGGUAGCUAAUACCGCAUAACGUCGCAAGACCAAAGAGGGGGACCUUCGGGCCUCUUGCCAUCGGAUGUGCCCAGAUGGGAUUAGCUAGUAGGUGGGGUAACGGCUCACCUAGGCGACGAUCCCUAGCUGGUCUGAGAGGAUGACCAGCCACACUGGAACUGAGACACGGUCCAGACUCCUACGGGAGGCAGCAGUGGGGAAUAUUGGACAAUGGGCGCAAGCCUGAUGCAGCCAUGCCGCGUGUAGGAAGAAGGCCUUCGGGUUGUAAAGUACGUUCAGCGGGGAGGAAGGGAGUAAAGUUAAUACCUUUGCUCAUUGACGUUACCCGCAGAAGAAGCACCGGCUAACUCCGUG